rnacentral:snRNA from 1 species
AUACUUACUUGUCAGGGGAGAUACCAUGAUCACGAAGGUGGUUUUCCCAGCAUGAGGCUGCUCCAUUGCACUCCGGAUGUGCCCUUGUGAUCCCCCCCCCCCGCCCAGAAAAAGAAGAAACCAUGGUGGGGAGAGGAAGGAAAGAAUAAGGA